rnacentral:rRNA from 1 species
GCAGUGAGGAAUAUUGGACAAUGGGUGAGAGCCUGAUCCAGCCAUCCCGCGUGAAGGACGACGGCCCUAUGGGUUGUAAACUUCUUUUGUAUAGGGAUAAACCUUUCCACGUGUGGAAAGCUGAAGGUACUAUACGAAUAAGCACCGGCUAACUCCGUGCCAGCAGCCGCGGUAAUACGGAGGGUGCAAGCGUUAUCCGGAUUUAUUGGGUUUAAAGGGUCCGUAGGCGGAUCUGUAAGUCAGUGGUGAAAUCUCAUAGCUUAACUAUGAAACUGCCAUUGAUACUGCAGGUCUUGAGUAAAGUAGAAGUGGCUGGAAUAAGUAGUGUAGCGGUGAAAUGCAUAGAUAUUACUUAGAACACCAAUUGCGAAGGCAGGUCACUAUGUUUUAACUGACGCUGAUGGACGAAAGCGUGGGGAGCGAACAGGAUUAGA